rnacentral:rRNA from 1 species
UGAGACCGGCGCACGGGUGCGUAACGCGUAUGCAAUCUACCUCUAUCUGGGGGAUAGCCCGAAGAAAUUCGGAUUAACACCGCAUAAAAUCACAGUACGGCAUCGUACAAUGAUCAAAUAUUUAUAGGAUAGAGAUGAGCAUGCGUGUCAUUAGUUAGUUGGCGGGGUAACGGCCCACCAAGACCACGAUGACUAGGGGAUCUGAGAGGAUGACCCCCCACACUGGUACUGAGACACGGACCAGACUCCUACGGGAGGCAGCAGUAAGGAAUAUUGGUCAAUGGAGGCAACUCUGAACCAGCCAUGCCGCGUGCAGGAAGACAGCCCUCUGGGUCGUAAACUGCUUUUAUUCGGGAAUAAACCUACUUACGUGUAAGUAGCUGAAUGUACCGAAGGAAUAAGGAUCGGCUAACUCCGUGCCAUCAGCCGCGGUAAUACGGAGGAUCCAAGCGUUAUCCGGAUUUAUUGGGCGUAAAGAGCUCGUAGGCGGUUUGUCGCGUCUGCUGUGAAAACCCGAGGCUCAACCUCGGGCCUGCAGUGGGUACGGGCAGACUAGAGUGCGGUAGGGGAGAUUGGAAUUCCUGGUGUAGCGGUGGAAUGCGCAGAUAUCACGAGGAACACCGAUGGCGAAGGCAGAUCUCUGGGCCGUAACUGACGCUGAGGAGCGAAAGGGUGGGGAGCAAACAGGCUUAGAUACCCUGGUAGUCCACGCCGUAAACGAUGAUAACUAGCUGU